rnacentral:rRNA from 1 species
GAUGAACGCUAGCGGCAGGCUUAAUACAUGCAAGUCGAGGGGCAGCGGGGGUAGCAAUACCUGCCGGCGACCGGCAAACGGGUGCGGAACACGUACAGAACCUUCCUUUAAGUGGGGGAUAGCCCGGAGAAAUCCGGAUUAAUACCCCGUAAUAUUAUUGAGUGGCAUCAUUUGAUAAUUAUAGAUUUAUCGCUUAGAGAUGGCUGUGCGGCUGAUUAGGUAGUUGGUGCGGGUAACGGCCCACCAAGCCAGCGAUCAGUAACUGGUGUGAGAGCACGACCAGUCACACGGGCACUGAGACACGGGCCCGACUCCUACGGGAGGCAGCAGUAAGGAAUAUUGGUCAAUGGACGCAAGUCUGAACCAGCCAUGCCGCGUGAAGGAUGAAGGCCCUCU